GCACAGACCUAUCAGCACUGUUUUCAGGGAAAUAUUGCUCAACACUACUCCCCGACAAACACCGAGAAAGUUGUUCAAAUCUGCCAAAGAAUGCCAUGAAAUUUGUUUCGUACUUGUGCUAAAUAGAAUUCUGCAAUCUGUCUGAAUUUGUCUUCGGCUCUUUUUAAGUGCAAACGUUUGAAAUUCAAGAAUUUAAGCACAAAAGAACAGACUUAAAACAGACAAAAUGGAACAAGAAAAUGCAGACAAGAAAAUCCUUAAGAAAAAAGUCAUCCCAUGGGUCUGCCAGGAAAUGUGUGUGCUGUGUAUGCUGCCAAAGCGCGAGCCAAUGUUCGUGCCCUGCGGCCACUCGUUCUGCUGUAAAUGUGCCACUCAGAUGAUUCUCCUCAAUAGUACGGAAUCGAAUCCCCACUGUCCAUUAUGCCCGCUGAUAUAUCCCGAGACGAUUUAAAAUAUUAUGGAUGCAGGAUUUUCAGGGGGAAUGUAAUAAAGGGAUAAGCUGAUGAAAUUUCUAAUGGCUUUGCGACAAUAAAUGUUAUUUCAUGUUCAGAAUAUUUUCAGUAUGCCUGCCAGUGCUAUAUGUGCUACAAAUCUUUAUUGAAGAUAAGCCCCAUCCCGAAA